rnacentral:rRNA from 1 species
UACGAAGGGGGCUAGCGUUGCUCGGAAUCACUGGGCGUAAAGGGCGCGUAGGCGGCCGAUCAAGUCAGAGGUGAAAGCCCAAGGCUCAACCUUGGAAUUGCCUUUGAUACUGUUCGGCUCGAGACCGGAAGAGGUUAGUGGAACUGCGAGUGUAGAGGUGAAAUUCGUAGAUAUUCGCAAGAACACCAGUGGCGAAGGCGGCUAACUGGUCCGGUUCUGACGCUGAGGCGCGAAAGCGUGGGGAGCGAACAGG